AAAUUUAAUCGUGCAAUUUGUGAACUCAUCCUCGCUAAUGACGGGGAUGAGUUUUUUGCUAUCAUACUCGGCUAUGCGUGCCUACUCACAUUUUGAUUUU
rnacentral:tRNA from 4 species